GAUGAACGCUGGCGGCGUGCCUAAUACAUGCAAGUCGAGCGAACAGAUAAGGAGCUUGCUCCUUUGACGUUAGCGGCGGACGGGUGAGUAACACGUGGGUAACCUACCUAUAAGACUGGAAUAACUCCGGGAAACCGGGGCUAAUGCCGGAUAACAUUUAGAACCGCAUGGUUCUAAAGUGAAAGAUGGUUUUGCUAUCACUUAUAGAUGGACCCGCGCCGUAUUAGCUAGCUGGUAAGGUAACGGCUUACCAAGGCAACGAUACGUAGCCGACCUGAGAGGGUGAUCGGCCACACUGGAACUGAGACACGGUCCAGACUCCUACGGGAGGCAGCAGUAGGGAAUCUUCCGCAAAGGGCGAAAGCCUGACGGAGCAACGCCGCGUGAGUGAUGAAGGUCUUCGGAUCGUAAAACUCUGUUAUUAGGGAAGAACAAAUGUGUAAGUAACUGUGCACGUCUUGACGGUACCUAAUCAGAAAGCCACGGCUAACUACGUG
rnacentral:rRNA from 1 species